rnacentral:rRNA from 1 species
AGUCGAGCGAGUCUGCCUUGAAGAUCGGAGUGCUUGCACUCUGUGAAACAAGAUACAGGCUAGCGGCGGACGGGUGAGUAACACGUGGGUAACCUGCCCAAGAGAUCGGGAUAACUCCUGGAAACAGAUGCUAAUACCGGAUAACAACAGAUGAUGCCUAUCAACUGUUUAAAAGAUGGUUCUGCUAUCACUCUUGGAUGGACCUGCGGUGCAUUAGCUAGUUGGUAGGGUAACGGCCUACCAAGGCGAUGAUGCAUAGCCGAGUUGAGAGACUGAUCGGCCACAUUGGGACUGAGACACGGCCCAAACUCCUACGGGAGGCAGCAGUAGGGAAUCUUCCACAAUGGACGCAAGUCUGAUGGAGCAACGCCGCGUGAGUGAAGAAGGGUUUCGGCUCGUAAAGCUCUGUUGUUGGUGAAGAAGGACAGGGGUAGUAACUGACCUUUGUUUGACGGUAAUCAAUUAGAAAGUCACGGCUAACUACGUGCCAGCAGCCGCGGUAAUACGUAGGUGGCAAGCGUUGUCCGGAUUUAUUGGGCGUAAAGCGAGUGCAGGCGGCUCGAUAAGUCUGAUGUGAAAGCCUUCGGCUCAACCGGAGAAUUGCAUCAGAAACUGUCGAGCUUGAGUACAGAAGAGGAGAGUGGAACUCCAUGUGUAGCGGUGAAAUGCGUAGAUAUAUGGAAGAACACCGGUGGCGAAGGCGGCUCUCUGGUCUGUUACUGACGCUGAGGCUCGAAAGCAUGGGUAGCGAACAGGAUUAGAUACCCUGGUAGUCCAUGCCGUANACGAUGAGUGCUAAGUGUUGGGAGGUUU